rnacentral:lncRNA from 1 species
ACAGGAGGGAGAGGGAGGAGAGAGGGAGAGGAAGAAGGGUGGAGGGAGGUGGGAGAAGGAGGAGAGUGAGUGUGCCAGAGGAGCUCAACUUACGUCAGGACAAAUGCACAAAGAGAAGCCGAAGAGAGAGAUGAGUGAGGACAGGAGAGAGGGAUGGAGAUGUGAGGACGGAGAGAGGGAUGGAGUUGAGGACACAGACUGGAAGUGCAGCAGACACCAGCCCACCAUUACAGAAGUCGGUAGAUCUGCACUAGGAUCAAGCAGCAGACCAGGAGGCUGAAGCUCUAACGCUCUCUACUGGACAGAGACUAUUACAUGUCAUCCCUCCAUCCUCCAUCCGCUGUUUCUUAUCAUAUGUAGAGUACGUAAGAGCCAACCUCUACUUUAUACAUGAGAGCUCUUUGAAGCAAUGAGGAAAAAUCAGAACUUCAGAUCUUGAGAACUUACUGAAUUGACUGAAUUGAAAUGUAAUGGAACCCAACCCUGUUGCUUAUUGCAGGUUAUUUGAGCCAAACCCUUCCUUUCCUAUGUUGUGAUUGACAUUGUUUUUGUUUUUACAGUUGAGGUGCAUUAUGGGUAAAGAGCCUUCACAGACUCUUCAAUCCACCGACACCCCCAACUGGAUGUAUCUACAGUUGAAGUCGGAAGUUUACAUGCACCUUAGCCAAAUACAUUUUAACUCAGUUUUUCACAAUUCCUGACAUUUAAUCGUGAAAAUUCCCUGUCUUAGGUCAGUUGGGAUCGCCACUAUAUUUUAAGAAUGUGAAAUGUCAGAAUAAUAGUAGAGAGAAUUAAUUAUUUUCAGCUUUUACUUCUUUCAUCACAUUCCCAGUGUGUCAGAAGUUCACAUGCACUCGAUCAGUAUUUGGUAGCAUUGCCUUUAAAUUGUUUAACUUGGGUCAAACGAUUUGGGUAGCCUUCCACAAGCUUCCCACAAUAAAUUGGGUGAACUUUGGCCCAUUCCUUCUGACAGAGCUGGUGUAACUGAGUCAGGUUUGUAGGCCUCCUUGCUCGCACACACUUUUUCAGUUCUGCACACCAUUCUUUUAUGGGAUUGAGGUCAGGGCUUUGUGAUGGCCACUCCAAUACCUUGACUUUGUUGUCCUUAAGCCUUUUUGCCACAACUUUGGAAGUAUGCUUGGGGUCAUUGUCCAUUUGGAAGACCCAUUUGCGACCAAGCUUUAACUUCCUGACUGAUGUCUU